rnacentral:lncRNA from 1 species
GUCAGUUAUACAUUCUUUUUUGCCAGUAGAGCAUCACAUAAAUUACCGUAUGUAUCCAAUGUACUAAAAUAUAGGACAGCUUUCUCCAAGGCUCAUCAAAUGUAAAGUGGGUCACUUUCCUUUAUUGAUAAGAAAUUUUAUCCCUGGCUCAUCAUCAUUCUCCAUAGUACUUCUUCAUAAUUCCUGCUAAUUUUUAAUAUCCAAUGGGUUUUUUUGAGGUGUAGUUUCAACCUAUUGCCUAGGCUAGAGUGCAGUGGCACAAUCUGCUCACUACAACCUCCACCACCCAGGUUCAAGUGAUUCUCCUGCUUCAGCCUUCUCUGUAGCUGGGAUUACAGGCACCCGCCAUUAUGUCCGGUUAAUUUUUUGUAUUUUUGUAGAUACAGGGUUCACCAUGUUGGCCAGGCUGGUCUCGAACUCCUGACCUCAGGAGAUCUGCCUGCUUCAGCCUCCCAAUGUGCUGAGAUUUCAGGCAUGAUCCACUGCACUUGGUCUCCAGUUGAAUUUUUGAAUUUUCUGGCUUUUCUUCUUUUCUUUCUUUGCCCUUCCCUUCUUAUUCUCCUUCUUUCUCCCCUCUUUCUUUCCUUUAAUGAUAUCGUUAUCCACUCUGCUACAGUCACUCCCCUGGUCAUACGUGAGACCCUGUUAUUAACAUCAAUAAAAUUCCCACAUCAAAUCAAUUUUAGUCAUAUCACUCUUCAACCACCAUCUACUUUCUUGCUCACGCCCUCUAAUGCUCCAACUCCAUGAAUUACUCAACUCACAGAGGCAAACACUCCUUUGAUAUUACCACCUAUCACUUUUCCUUUGCCUUUUUUAUAUCCUUAUAUAAAUUUACCUAGGAUUCUGUCUAUAGCGUUAAAAGUGCCUCCUAAAUAAUGCAGUGCACAAUGAACAAAACUAUAAGGGGUGGGACAUCCUUAUUAUAAUAAUGAGUCUCCUUUGGAAUGUUCAUGAUCUUCUUCACCUAAAUUAUGUUAUCUUCUCAAUAGAAAAUUUUCACUGUUCUCCCCUGUUUAUCCAACCAUCCUAGACAACUUCGGAAACUUGAACUACUCCACAGUUCCAGUGUCAUACUGAAUGAAGUAUUUGAGUAGUGGGGGACUGCUGUGUUACAUCAUCUCCCACUGAAAAAUUCCCAUACUGUAUAUAUAUAUUUUUUAUUUUCUAAUUUCCCAAUGCUAUCUGAGAAGCUAGAGUAAACUCAUUAUGACUGACAUUCUCUUCUUCCUGGUUUUUAGGACAGUGCCUCAGCUGCAAAUGCUCAAGAUCCUUUUCGUGUGUGAUUAUACCUUGAGUUUG